GCUCCGGUGGCCUAGUGGUUAGAGCGUCCGUCUCUGAUGCGGGAGGUCGAUGGUUCGAUGCUCGGUCGAGACA